AACGCUGAUUCCUUUUUCUUUUGUCCCUACUCAGAACAAGUAAACACGCCUAUGGAGGUUCCAGUUUGGUCUGAAAAUGAAAAAGAAGAAGAUGAGUUGGAUGAGGAAGCAAGUCUCACUCAAGAGGGGGGAGAACAAGAGUGGGCAAUCAACUCAAAGAGGAAAUGGCAAUGCCAAAAAUGUAAAGAUCACAGAAUAUUAAAACUUCAAAACAGUUUGGUUUAAAUAUCAAGAAAUUAAUGUUACGAGUAGCAGCCAGUUAUUGGUAGAGUUUUAUCAAGUCCAUGACAUUAUUAAAUUCAGAGUUACUUUGUCUUGAGAAUUGAGGAGCUGUAAUAUACUGAUCAUCAUGGCAGGACCACCUAGUAAAAUUUGUUUAUAGAGACUUUUGGAGGAGAGGGGGAAGACUUGUGACAAGCUGGCUGACAAAAACAUGAACUUUACCAAAUGGGUUAAGUGCUCAGUAUUUCAAUCAGCUAUGGCUCAAAUUAAACUUUGCUUUAGCUUCAAGUUUAUUCCUUUGUGUUUGCCUUUCUCUGUGUUUAUUUUUCAAGUUAUGUUACACAAAAGAACACAAAAAUAAUAAUGCUUUUGAAUAUUAGGAGCCUGGCAUAAGCAAGAAAUCAAAGUUAAUUUGGGUAAUAAAGUUAAUUUGAUCUUCCAAUGUUCUUUCAUUUUAACCACUAAUAAAAUUUUCCAUUUAAAUUUAUCCUCUCCAUUGUUUUGGAUGUUGUAUGUAAAAAAAAAAA